GACGAAGGUGGCGAGCGUUGUUCGGAAUCACUGGGCAUAAAGCGCACGUAGGCGGCUUUCUAAGUCAGGGGUGAAAUCCUGGAGCUCAACUCCAGAACUGCCUUUGAUACUGGAGAGCUUGAGUCCGGAAGAGGUGAGUGGAACUCCGAGUGUAGAGGUGAAAUUCGUAGAUAUUCGGAAGAACACCAGUGGCGAAGGCGGCUCACUGGUCCGGUACUGACGCUGAGGUGCGAAAGCGUGGGGAGCAAACAGG
rnacentral:rRNA from 1 species